rnacentral:rRNA from 1 species
UGGGGAAUUUUGGACAAUGGGCGAAAGCCUGAUCCAGCAAUGCCGCGUGUGUGAAGAAGGCCUUCGGGUUGUAAAGCACUUUUGUCCGGAAAGAAAUCCUUGGCUCUAAUACAGUCGGGGGAUGACGGUACCGGAAGAAUAAGCACCGGCUAACUACGUGCCAGCAGCCGCGGUAAUACGUAGGGUGCAAGCGUUAAUCGGAAUUACUGGGCGUAAAGCGUGCGCAGGCGGUUUGCUAAGACCGAUGUGAAAUCCCCGGGCUAACCUGGGAACUGCAUUGGUGACUGGCAGGCUAGAGUAUGGCAGAGGGGGGUAGAAUUCCACGUGUAGCAGUGAAAUGCGUAGAGAUGUGGAGGAAUACGAUGGCGAAGGCAGCCCCCUGGGCCAAUACUGACGCUCAUGCACGAAAGCGUGGGGAGCAAACAGGAUUAGAUACCCUGGUAGUCCACGCCCUAAACGAUGUCAACUAGUUGUUGGGGAUUCAUUUCCUUAGUAACGUAGCUAACGCGUGAAGUUGACCGCCUGGGGAGUACGGUCGCAAGAUUAAAACUCAAAUGAAUUGACGGGGUCAUAGCUG